UACGUAGGGGGCAAGCGUUGUCCGGAAUCAUUGGGCGUAAAGCGCGUGUAGGCGGCUUGGUAAGUCCGGUGUGAAACCUUGGGGCUCAACCCCAAGCCUGCAUCGGAAACUGCCUCGCUCGAGUCCGGGAGGGGAGAGCGGAAUUCCUAGUGUAGCGGUGAAAUGCGCAGAUAUUAGGAAGAACACCGGUGGCGAAGGCGCAGCUCUCGAGACGGUACUGACGCUGAGGUGCGAAAGCGUGGGGAGCAAACAGG
rnacentral:rRNA from 1 species